rnacentral:rRNA from 1 species
GUGGGGAAUCUUGUGCAAUGGGCGAAAGCCUGACGCAGCCAUGCCGCGUGAAUGAUGAAGGUCUUAGGAUUGUAAAAUUCUUUCACCGGGGACGAUAAUGACGGUACCCGGAGAAGAAGCUCCGGCUAACUUCGUGCCAGCAGCCGCGGUAAUACGAAGGGGGCUAGCGUUGCUCGGAAUUACUGGGCGUAAAGGGCGCGUAGGCGGACAGCUUAGUCAGAGGUGAAAGCCCAGGGCUCAACCUUGGAAUUGCCUUUGAUACUGGCUGUCUUGAGUUUGGGAGAGGUGAGUGGAACUCCGAGUGUAGAGGUGAAAUUCGUAGAUAUUCGGAAGAACACCAGUGGCGAAGGCGACUCACUGGCCCAAUACUGACGCUGAGGCGCGAAAGCGUGGGGAGCAAACAGGAUUAGAUACCCCUGUGUCC